UUUCGAUAUGGGGUGCGCCCAUUCUCCCAUGAUGCCUCUGACCUCUCUGACAUGCUUACCUGCUCAGAUCAAGAGAUUUUCUUAACAGUAUCACAGGACCAAAUCUCCAAAACAGCUCUUCCAAGAAAAACAAAAUUUGGGAGUGUGGGACUCACUGGGAAGAUAUCCAUGCUUCUGUAAAUGGCACCCAUGCAUUCUUCUGUAAGUAAUUCUACCUAACGUCACUGGAUGACACACCAAAUGACAUGACAGUAGACUGGAAAUUGGCAGAGAAGAGGAAAGAGAUCAUCAAGAACAAAAGGAGUCAGGAG
rnacentral:lncRNA from 1 species